GUGAGCCCGCGCACCUGCCCUUAGUNNCCCGGCCCUCGCCCAAGGAGGCCCGCCUCGCCCGGCUCCCACCGCCGCGCCUGCCCAAGCCGCUCAGAGGGCUUCGAGGGCUCCGAGGUCGCCCAGCAGCCGCGGUCCCCCGCCGCCUGCAAGUCCGCCUGGCUCCGAAUCACGUGUCAGUGCCCGAGGCAGAGACUGAGAAAAAAACGCGCUUCAUUCCUUCUUCCACCGCCAUACUGUAUUUUCCUAAAUCUCAUUUUUAUUCCAACAUUUUACUCCCGCUCGGUAGAAGAAAGGAUUUCCAGUUGAAGAAUGCAAGUAAUGUGUAAUGGCUGACCAGUCCUCAUCAAAAACGCAAGUACAGAGAGAGGCAGCUCAGUCCUAUGCUCACAGGAAUCUACCAACAACCUGGAGAUGUGAGGAUAUAAAUCCCUCUCUGAGG
rnacentral:lncRNA from 1 species